AUUGAACGCUGGCGGCAGGCUUAACACAUGCAAGUCGAGCGGGGUGAUGGUGCUUGCACUAUCACUUAGCGGCGGACGGGUGGGUAAUGCUUAGGAAUCUGCCUAUUAGUGGGGGACAACAUCUCGAAAGGGAUGCUAAUACCGCAUCCGUCCUACGGGAGAAAGCAGGGGAUCACUUGUGACCUUGCGCUAAUAGAUGAGCCUAAGUCGGAUUAGCUAGUUGGUGGGGUAAAGGCCUACCAAGGCGACGAUCUGCAGCGGGUCUGAGAGGAUGAUCCGCCACACUGGGACUGAGACACGGCCCAGACUCCUACGGGAGGCAGCAGUGGGGAAUAUUGGACAAUGGGGGGAACCCUGAUCCAGCCAUGCCGCGUGUGUGAAGAAGGCCUUAUGGUUGUAAAGCACUUUAAGCGAGGAGGAGGCUCUUUUGGUUAAUACCCAAGAUGAGUGGACGUUACUCGCAGAAUAAGCACCGGCUAACUCUGUGCCAGCAGCCGCCGUAA
rnacentral:rRNA from 1 species